UACGUAGGGGGCUAGCGUUGUCCGGAAUCAUUGGGCGUAAAGCGCGUGUAGGCGGUCCGGUAAGUCCGCUGUGAAAGUCGGGGGCUCAACCCUCGAAUGCCGGUGGAUACUGUCGGGCUAGAGUGCGGAAGAGGCGAGUGGAAUUCCUGGUGUAGCGGUGAAAUGCGCAGAUAUCAGGAGGAACACCGGUGGCGAAGGCGGGUCUCUGGGCCGAUACUGACGCUGACAGCGCGAAAGCUAGGGGAGCGAACGGG
rnacentral:rRNA from 1 species